rnacentral:rRNA from 1 species
UACAGAGGGGGCGAGCGUUAUUCGGAAUUAUUGGGCGUAAAGGGCGCGUAGGCGGCUUGACAAGUCCGAGGUGAAAUCCCUCGGCUCAACCGAGGAACUGCCUUGGAAACUGUCUGGCUUGAGGCCGGGAGAGGGUAGUGGAAUUCCCAGUGUAGCGGUGAAAUGCGUAGAUAUUGGGAGGAACACCGGUGGCGAAGGCGGCUACCUGGACCGGAUCUGACGCUGAUGCGCGAAAGCGUGGGGAGCAAACAGG